rnacentral:rRNA from 1 species
CCUAGGGGAGGCUGCAGUGGGGAAUAUUGGACAAUGGGCGAAAGCCUGAUCCAGCCAUGCCGCGUGUGUGAAGAAGGCCUUCGGGUUGUAAAGCACUUUCAGUGGGGAAGAAAGCCUUGGGGCUAAUACCCUCGAGGAAGGACAUCACCCACAGAAGAAGCACCGGCUAACUCCGUGCCAGCAGCCGCGGUAAUACGGAGGGUGCGAGCGUUAAUCGGAAUUACUGGGCGUAAAGCGCGCGUAGGCGGUCUGAUAAGCCGGUUGUGAAAGCCCCGGGCUCAACCUGGGAACGGCAUCCGGAACUGUCAGGCUAGAGUGCAGGAGAGGAAGGUAGAAUUCCCGGUGUAGCGGUGAAAUGCGUAGAGAUCGGGAGGAAUACCAGUGGCGAAGGCGGCCUUCUGGACUGACACUGACGCUGAGGUGCGAAAGCGUGGGUAGCAAACAGGAUUAGAUACCCGUGUAGUC